UGGAUAACGUGCCCUGGACACGGGGAUAGCGGCGGGCCGCAAGGCCCUUUAGCGAAAGUGCCGGUAAUACCCGAUGACCCCGUAGGAUCGCAUGAUCCCGCGGGCAAAAGCUCAGGCGGUCUAGGAUCGGUUCAUGUCCUAUCAGCUAGUUGGUAGGGUAACGGCCUACCAAGGCGAUGACGGGUAGCGGGCGUGAGAGCGUGGCCCGCCACAUCGGGACUGAGACACGGCCCGGACACCCACGGGUGGCUGCAGCAACGAAUAUUCCGCAAUGGACGCAAGUCUGACGGAGCGACGCCGCGUGCAGGAAGAAGUCCCUCGGGAUGUAAACUGCUUUUGUGGGUGAGGAACAUUGACCAGCCCAAGAAUAAGCACCGGCUAACUCCGUGCCAGCAGCCGCGGUAAUACGGAGGGUGCAAGCGUUGUUCGGAGUCACUGGGCUUAAAGCGCGUGUACGCGGACUGCCACGUGCUGUGUGAAAUUCCCGAGCUCAACUCGGGAACUGCGCGGCAACCGGCAUUCUUGAGGCAAGUAGAGGUGACUGGAACGACCGGUGGAGCGGUGAAAUGCGUAGAUAUCGGUUGGAACGCCGGAGGCGAAAGCGGGUCACUGGGCUUGUCCUGACGCUGAGACGCGAAAGCGUGGGGAGCAAACAGGAUUAGAUACCCUGGUAGUCCACGCCGUAAACGAUGCGCACUAGGUAUGAGGGGCACUGACGCCGCUCGUGCCGAAGCAAAAGUGCUAAGUGCGCCGCCUGGGGAGUACGGCCGCAAGGCUAAAACUCAAAGGAAUUGACGGGGGCUCACACAAGCGGUGGAGUAUGUGGAUUAAUUCGAAGCAACGCGCAGAACCUCACCUAGGUUUUGACAUGCUAGUGGUAGGAACCCGAAAGGGGGACGACCUUAGGGUAAGCUCCCGCUAAGGAGCUAGCACAGGUGCUGCAUGGCUGUCGUCAGCUCGUGCUGUGAAGUGUCGGGUUAAGUCCCUUAACGAGCGAAACCCCUAUCGUUAGUUGCCAGC
rnacentral:rRNA from 1 species